UUUUAGGAUUUAUGUGUCUAAAGACAGAACUUCAAAACUUGAAGCAACAGCUGAAGAGAAUUAGACAAACGUGCAACAACGAAAGAUCACGUGCCUCUCCCUCCGCCGUUGCUAGGACAAGGAAACUGGAGUCCAGCCUCCAGCGAUGAUAUUAGGGUCACUCGGACAGAACUCGAAGCAGAAGAUGUCAUCGGGGCUCUCCAGCAUCAACUAAAGUCAACCCCAUGAGUCAAAAGAAAAGAACAAGAAAACCUAUUAAACAAUACUGAGUAUCUACUCAGGCACAUAGUGGACAGUCAAGAAGAAAAUUCCCUGAGUGGGAGAAUCUGGAAGUAAUGUUGGUAAAUAUUUCAAAAUUUAAAACAGUAUGAAAUACAGAAGAUGAAAAGUAUGCAUGAGGGAAUCAUUAAGUUAACAUCACCACCAGGCAAGACAGCGCACGGCUGUUGUUUUCUACAGCGGCAAAAGCUAGGCCCCAGGUCCUUUCAACUUCUGUUCUGCUCCCUGGCCUUGCUUCUUCAUUCUACCCGAGACCAGUCCCUAGCAGUGGCACGUCCUGGUCAGAGGAUGCAACAGGGCACGGGAGAACUCUGCCAGUCAUCAGCCUGCACUCAGGAUGUCUUCCAGUCUCUCAUCCUAUUCAACAUCACUAGCUCCUGCCAAGUCAGUCUCUGUCUCCCUACAGCACAGCCUCUCAUCUCAGCACUCCUGGGGGCCCAGGGUCAAGUCUCACUCCCUCCAUCUCUCAUACUGCUGCAUAUUUUCCAUGCUCCUUCCAGCUGCUGCACAGAGGUUCCAGCAAAGGGAGAAGGGUAUGCUGUCUCAGGUUGGAAUGCUCUGGUUGUUUUCCUGCAGAGGUACCCUGCCCCCAAGUGGCUCUAUGGGAUAAUUAUUUAUGUAAUUUGAGGGCUUGAAAUGAUUUUGUGCAGAACUCUGAUUAUGUAUGAGAAUGUAUUCUAAACUGCAAUUAGUUGUUGCAACAAUCAUUUGAAAUACAAAUUAAUUAUGAAAUCUGGACAAACCUCUUUUUAGUGCCCUCAGAAGUACCAAUAGAAAGGUUUUUUAGUUACUGACUUUUCAAGUAAGUGAUUGCAAUGUCUGGCAGAUGGUGGUGUUUAGCAUAGACUACACAGUAAAGGCUCUGUGGUUUCCUUAGGAAGCUGCUGGGAGGAACUGUGGAAUCCUCUGCACCAGAGUGGAAAAAGAGAAGGCACUAUACUAAUUAGCACAGGUAUUCAAAAAGGCAAGAAGCUGCCCACCUCCCAAGAAACUGGAGAGACAAAAAAACCAUGCUCUCUUUUUAAAACUGUAGUUUAAUUUUUAAAGGUCUUUUGGGACAGAGUUUGUGAUUGCUAGCUUUAAUUGUCAACUCAAUGCAAACUAGAAUCACCCAGGGAAGAUUAUCUACAGUAGACUGACCUUAUGGGCAUGUCUACAGGGGACGGUCUUCAUUAAGUUAACUGAGGUGGGCAGUUUCAGCCCACUAUGUGUGGCACCAUUCCCUAGGCAAGGAGGGAGGGUCCUGAACUGUAUGAGAAAGGAGAAAUCCAGCUGAGGGAAAGCAAGGAUACAUGCACCUGUUUCUCCCUGCUCUUGACUGUGGACGUGAAGGAAGUAGCUGUUUGAAGUUCCUGCCUUUACCUACCCCUUCACUGAGGGUCUGUAAACUGAAAUUGUGAGCCAAAUAAACCCACCUCCUCUA